GUGAUCCUAACAAGGGGUUCUUAAUGAAAAGCAAAAAAAAAAAAAAAUCAAAAUACCUAAAUACAAGAGAACCGGGUCUUGAUUGGGGGGGGAGGGGUUUAGGAUUGGUUAGGAACCUUAUGUGUCAGUAUCCUAUUCGCCCACCCUUUGAUUUUUCUUUCUCUCCUUCGCGUCGCGGUAAUGAAGGUGGAAGAUGAUCAAAGUCUAGAAAUUGUACGGAACUGAAACCUGAGGAGAAGAAUCUGUAACGAUCAGACACAACAAAAUAUAUCUUAGAAAAGAGAUUGAGAAAGGAGCUGAGUUAAUGUACGAUGAUCAAAGACCAAAUAAAGGGUUGAAAAAACAAGAGAUCUGAUUUUUUGUCUGAUCACAUCUCCAUGUUUAGACAAAAAAAAACUCACUGGAUGAUAAACAAAAUCUCAGUGAAGACAAUGCGAGAGAGAUGAUUGUUUACCAAUGAGUUUGAAUAAGCAAGAUUAACAUAUAAAAUCACCAAUCGGCAAAAGGUGAUGAAGGGAGAUUAAAAUAAAAUUAGAGAAAUUAGGAGCUACACCAAAUAAGUUUGACAUAUUUAGUUAUCUGCCAAAUUGAACUGUUCGCGGAAUGAGUGUGAUGUUUUUGGACUCUUCUACCCCUACUCACACUGCCAUGUAAAAUACUAUGGCUGGGCAAAAAAUCCGAAUCCGAAGAACCGAACCGAACCCGAUCCGAAAAUGUAGUACCGAAUCCGAACCGAAAUUGAUUAAAUAUCCGAACGGGUUCAAAAUUUUGGUAUCUAGAGAACCGAAACCGAACCCGACCCGAACCGAAGUAUUUCGGGUACCCGAAUGUAUCCGAAAUAGAUUUAUAUAUCUAAAUAUAUUAAUUAUUUUUAGAUUCAAUGUAUAUUAAAAACAUUCAAAAUAUAUAAGAUACUUUUAAGUUGUCUAAAAUACUUGAAAAUAUAUACAAAUAUUCAAAAGUAAAUUUCUAAAAUAGUAUAAAAUAUACUCAAAACACCAAAAAUAGUUGAAAUGUCUACUGAUUGUCUAUCAAAAUAUUCAAACAAACCAAUUUAUAUGUUAAGUUUAGGUACUCUGACAUAUGUUAUUCAAGUUUAUAUGUUAUAUAGUAUUUUAUUUACAGAUUUUGAGAAAUUGAAACUAUAUAUUGAAUUUUAAAAUUUUAAAAAUCAUUUAAAUGGGUUAUCCGAACCCGAACCGAACCCGCAAAGAUCCGAACCGAACCCGAACCGAAAUUUAGAAAUACCCGAAUGGAGCUAAAAUCUUUAACCCCGAAAACCCGAAACCCGAAUAAACCCGAACCGAACCCGAAUGGGUACCCGAACGCCCACCCCUAUAAAAUACUAUUGUGUCAGGCAAAAUCUUACGAAGAGAUUUUGUAAUAUUUUAUUCUCUGCGUGCAAGAUUGUUCCAAGAUAUUACAAUACCAUUUAACUUUUAUUAUACUUUUUGAAUUCCAAAAUAGGUUCAUAUUUUUCUCUUUCAUCUCUCCAAAUAAACUCUCUGUUCCGUAAUUCUCUUUCUCUCCAAAGAACGUGCAACAGAAUCACAUUUCCUCUCUUCAGCUCCCAUCUAUGCAACUCGCCGGUCAGAUUCCUGAGUCUCUCAAGCUCUGUUGUAGUUUAAAAUCACUAAAUUCUUAGGAAAAGAUUUUUCCGGUACGACUCCUUCUCAAAUUUGCUUGUGACUUCCUGAUAAUAAAUUCUCUGGCUCGACCCUGCCACAGAUCGUUGAGUUUAAGUUCAAGAACGCUCUUGUUUUAGUGACGACAAGGUCUGAGGUUUGGUUCCUUCUGUAUUAAGCCGGUUAGAUCGUCUUUCUUUGGCUGGGAACAAUCUCUCUGGUACGAUUCUGUUCGAGCUGUCUCGUUUUGGAGAAGAUAAUUUUGUCGCAAAUAACGGUCUUGCGAUUAAAUUGCGGAGGAUGUUGGGUUUUGAUGGUGGUUAUGAUUAAAGUGCUUAUGGUGGAAGAAGCUGUUAGAUGUUACUCUUGUUGGAUAGACAUUUACAUUAUUGUCGAGACAAUACAAACUUUAACCAUAUAUUAUUUUACGUAGAUGUUAAAGACAGUUGAAAGAACCUGUACAUAGACGGAAAUCAUUUUAUUUACACGGGUUAUAAAUAAGUAAAUUGUAACGUAAGUUGUGUUAGACGGCUACAAUAAUUUUUGAUGCAUCGUCACAAACCAAAAAUAAUAGACAGUUAUAUAAUUUAUUAGUCAAGAUACUUAAUAUUUUAUCUCAAGUAACCCAUUUUCUAAAAAUGUAAGUAUUAUAUUAGCUGUCCAACAAUUUGAUAUGCACCAAUGAACAAACAUGCCUAAACAUUAUUUGUAUGUUCAUUUCAUAUGAUAUAGCUAUGAUCUUGAUUCUUAUGGUACCUAAGAAUGUGAUAUACAGAAUUCAAACAUGUUUUAUCCCAAAUAACUUGUUUGUUAACCAUGUAAAUAUUAUAUUAACCGUCUAAUAAUUUGAUGUUACCAAAAAAUCAGUUUUUACCCUAAGUUAACUCAUUUUCUAACCGUGUAUAUAUUAUAUUAAACGAUCUGACAUUUCCAACGAAUACAUAUACAUAAGCAUUAUUAACAUGUUCAUUCAAUAUGUCACAGCUAUGAUCUUGACUUCUUAAUCUUAUGAUAUCAAUUCUUGUUAGUAUGUUCAUUAUUCAUAUUUUUAUAUCUCUUUGGAAUUGAUCCUUGAGACUUGUUGUUAAACGUCAGGGUUGAAAAAACAAGAGAUCUGAUUUUUUGUCUGAUCACAUCUCCAUGUUUAGACAAAAAAAAACUCACUGGAUGAUAAACAAAAUCUCAGUGAAGACAAUGCGAGAGAGAUGAUUGUUUACCAAUGAGUUUGAAUAAGCAAGAUUAACAUAUAAAAUCACCAAUCGGCAAAAGGUGAUGAAGGGAGAUUAAAAUAAAAUUAGAGAAAUUAGG
rnacentral:lncRNA from 1 species